ensembl:lncRNA
CUGUAGUGUGCGCUUUAUCGCUGUGGAAGCAGCAGAUUAACAUCCUAGAGAUCCUGCCUAUGUCUCGUGUCUGGUCAGCAGAUAUCUCAGGAGUGGAAGCAAAGGCUUCCCAGAGGUUCGUCUUGUCCCUCUGGUCAAAGUGUUCCAUCUCCUCUCCAGAAGUCAUCCUGUUGAAGCUUCUUAUGAUGAAUAAUGAGGAGACAGCUUUGGGUAGAUGGUGGAGAAGGAAGAAGGCCAGUUACCUUGUGUUGUGGUUUGUCCUGAAGUUAUCUGUAUUUUGAUGCUAAUUCCGCUGCCCCGAGGACAGCUGCGUAGUCACUACUCAGGAAUCCUCUUCAUCUGUCUGUGGUUGAGAAGGAAAAGCGAUGUGGAAUCUGCUCUCCUUCAUCUGUCUUUGGUGAGCUCACGGAAGCUCCCAUCUGAAUCAGUUUGGUUUUGUGGUGAUCUUGCGGCGGCCACUUGUUUUUGUCUCUGUGCGCACUUCUGUUUUUUUUGUCUGUUAAUCUUUUUUUUUUCUUUUCUUUUCUUUUUUUCGGAGCUGGGGACCGAACCCAGGGCCUUACGCUUGCUAGGCAAGCGCUCUACCACUGAGCUAAAUCCCCAACCCCCUGUUAAUCUUUUGAUUGUCUUUCUGUGUGACUAAAUGCUAUUUGUCCUCUUCGGUGGACCUCUAUUUUCUGGACUUUCCUCUUGUUUUCUCACCAUCCCACUUGAGAUGCUUAUUAGUAGCUGUUACAGGAAAUACAGAAUCCUACUAGAGGCCAGAAAAAAUGUUCCAGACACUGAUGGAAGGCCCUCACUUCUGCCUGUUGGCUUCAAUACGCCUGAAGGUAGGGAGUGCCAGGUCUACCGCCAGACUCCAAUGGUGGGUCUCUGAGGGGCUGGAAAACACCCCACCAAUUUGGCUAAGGUAAGAAAAAGAUAUGAAGAAACUUGAGGGGUUAAGCUAAGUUGCUGAGAGAGUUAGUGUAAGUUGCAGAGAAAGUAAGGUUGACGUGUGGUUCAGGGUAUAUAACAGAGAGACUGAGGAAGAGAAAGAGGUAAGAAGACAGAAAGAAGAGGCUAGAGAGCUAAAGAGAGAUAAAAGGCAGGGGAAGAACUUGUACUGGCCACAGUAGUUAGAGAGACUAGGAAGACAGUACCUGGCAACAGAAGAGAAUUUCUGGCUAAAGAUCAGAGUGCCGAUUGUAAGAAAAAGGACACUUGGAUCAGGGACUUCCACAGGAUAGAGGGAAGCCCAAUCAGUGUUUUGUGGAUACAGGGACCCAACGCUCUGUGCUCUUACGCCCCAGUGGGCCAGUGUCAAUCAAAAGACCUUGGGUACAGUGGGCUACCGGCAACAAACAAUACUUAUGGACUGCCCGAAGAACAGUGGACCUUGGCAUGGGCCAGGUAACCCAGUAGUUCAUCCCUGACUGCCCCUAUCCCUUGCUCAUGAGAAAUUUGCUCUCCAAAAUGGCUUGCGUGGGCUGAAAUGGCUGGGUGAGGCCAUGUAUAUGCAUAUCUGCAGACUGUGUAUGUGGAGCUUAAGACCCAGGCUGACCCUGUCUCAGUGCACCAAUACCUGAUGCUGGGAGAUGUCUGGCUUAGUGCUGUUCUGCCUGGAACACACUGCUCCUGACAGCCGGACACUAACAAUUAUUACCCAAUCCAGGACUUAAACUGUGGUAGAGGGCUGAUGUUUUGCCUUUGAAUGGAAUGUCUCAGAGGAUGGGACCACUGGUCAGCUGCCAUGGACUAGAUUCUCCACCGGUUGGGGGCAAUCUGGUCACCUUGCUGCCCAAUCCUGACCUGAAGCCACCACAGCACAAGUAUCAAGUACUGGCAGAAGCCCAUGGGUGGAGGGAAGACCUCUGUGACUGACUGAUCGACCCCUGCUGAAAGCUGAAGCUACCUUGUCUACACACAGGAACAGUUCUCUUCAUGAAGGUCAGAGAUGAAUGGGUACUGCCAUGGUGGACAACACAAAUGUCAUCUGGGAUGGACAAACCUCUACCCCACAGCACAUCAGCGCAGAUGCCUUUGCAAUCUCUUGGAUGCCCUGAUGUAGCCAGCAACUGUGAGUAUUAUUCAUUGCCCAGGACAUCAGGAGGGAAGAGAUUCAGUGGCAUGGGCAGUAACAAAGCAGAUAAAGUGGCUCAGGAAAUGGCUAUGCAGGAGCCUAUCCUGGUUACAGGCCUGCAAGAGACAGCCACUGGGAACUGGAAUUGGACUAAGGGAUGGCCUCACUUAAAAUGUACAACAGAAUAAAAGGCCCAAAUUGCUUAAAAGAAAAAAAGACAAUGGCACACUUGAGGGAAAACUAUAUUCCUCAGAGAACAAACAAAAGACUCACUUUGCCAAAUACAGAAAUGGACUCAUUUAGGAGAUAAGAAGCUUGUCCAAGUAGUUAAGGUAUAUGUAAUAGACUUUAAGAUUUUAGCCAGAGAGGCAGUGAAAAAUAUAAGGUAUGUCAGUAAGUGAAUGCUUAGCAAGCAAACAGGGCAAAGAGACCUAGAGAGUUUAGAAGAAAGUCGAAGUGAACUUCACUGAGAUAAAACCAGGAAUAUGGGCUGGAGAGAUGGCUCAGCGGUUAAGAGCACCCGACUGCUCUUCCAGAGGUCAUGAGUUCAAUUCCCAGCAACCACAUGGUGGCUCACAACCAUCUGUAAGGAGAUCCGGUGCCCUCUUCUGGUGUGUCUGAAGACAGCUACAGUGUACUUAUAUAUAAUAAAUGAAUAAAUCUUAAAAAAAAAAGAUUAUUCCUUUUAAAAAAAACAGGAAUAUAUGAUCACAAGUAUCUCCUAGAGCUUGUAGAUACCUUUUCAGGAAUAGAUAGAAGCUUUCCUCACAAGCAAGAGAUGGCCUCAGAAACUUUCCUCACCAAGUAAGAGACAGCCUCGGUAGUCAUCAAGAAGAUACUGGAAGAAAUCUCCCUCCACCCCCACCCGGUCUGGAGUGUCCAAGGCAAUCUGGUCAGACAACGGCCCUACUUUCAUUGCCAGGGUAAGCCAGGGUGUGGCCAAGUAUUUAGAGGUCGAUUAGAAAUUACAUUACAUUACAGACCUCAAAGUUCAGGACAGGUAGAGAGAAUAAAUAAAACUCUAAAAGAGACCCUUACCAAAUUGACCAUGGAGACUGGCGCGACUGGGUGGCACUCCUUCCCUCUUGCUCUCUUCAGAGUAAGAAAUGUCCCUUCUAGAUUCACCCUUACCCACUUUGAGAUCUUAUAUGAGGCCUCAGCUCCUCUGACUGUAUUAGAUGAUGCUACUGAACCAACAUGUCAUAGUAAUAAUGAUUUGUAUGCCAGGCUAAAAGACCUACAGGUGAUACAGAAAGAAAUCUAGUCAUAGCUGGCAGCAGCCUAUACCCCAGGGACCCCCGAGACAUCUCAUCAGUUCCAGGUUGGAGACUCGGAUACAUACAAUGACACGGAGCCCAGACACUCGAGCCUCACUGGAAAGGACUGUACUUGGUGCUACUGACCACCCUGACAGCCGUCAAGUCUCAGCCCUCACCAGCCGUGUACUAGCUGUUGGGGCUGAGAGCUGGGACCUAGAGGGACACUCAGAUCUUCAAAAAGCUCCCUGGACCUACACGUCAAAUAAGUGGGUACAUCAGAGAUGUGACUGGUGGGGUUACUAUAAUGCUCACUUGAGGAGUGUGCUUUAGAAAAAAGAAUUUCAUGUUUGCCCUAGGUUCCAUUGGGAUAGGUGUGGGGAUAGGCUUGAUUUCUAUUGCAAAUGAUGUAACAUUGUAUAUGUUAGUACUCCUAACACUUCUUGGGACUGUGCCUCAGGCAGGGAUCACAACCUGUAUAAGUUUAGAAGUUCUAAAAGGCAGUCAUGACCUUGGUGUGUAGGUUCAGAUAGUGUCCAGAUUGGAAUCCUGAUGCUAAAGACUUAGUAAGACACAAAAGAGAGUUGAGAAUUACUUAGGGCUAUCUUAAGGCUGAGUCUAGGUGCUGCAAGGGCAGCUACAAGGACAUCUGCUGUUGCCCUGCAACACAAGGCUUAUGGAGAAUCCAGAACUGCCAUUGACUUAGAUAUAGAAAGAGUAAAAAAGACAUUUUAGUGACCUCCAAGAAUCCCUAACCUCCCUGUCAGAGGUAGUCCUUCAGAAUAAGAGAAGAUUAGACUUGAUAUUCCUUAAAGAAGGAGGUCUGUGUGCUACACUAAAGGAAAAAUGUUGCUUUUAUGUAGACCAUUCAGGAGUAAUUAAAGACUCCAUGAGUAAACUUAGAGAAAGGUUAGACAAAAGACAGAGAGACCGAGAAGCACAUCAGGCAUGGUUCGAGAGCUGGUUUAGUAGAUCUCCUUGGAUGACUACUCUGAUAUCUUCCCUUAUGGGACCCUUCUUAGUUUUGCUUCUGCUUCUGCCAUGUGUGUUAAAGAAACUAUGUUCUCAAGGGAUGGAUGGAUUGUAUGUUUAAGUGGGCAAUUAUAUCUUAUCAAUUGG